rnacentral:rRNA from 1 species
ACGCUGGCGGCGUGCCUAAUACAUGCAAGUAGAACGCUGAAGCUUGGUGCUUGCACCGAGCGGAAGAGUUGCGAACGGGUGAGUAACGCGUAGGUAACCUGCCUCUUAGCGGGGGAUAACUAUUGGAAACGAUAGCUAAUACCGCAUAAAAGUCGACAUCGCAUGAUGUUGACUUGAAAGGUGCAACUGCAUCACUAAGAGAUGGACCUGCGUUGUAUUAGCUAGUUGGUGAGGUAACGGCUCACCAAGGCGACGAUACAUAGCCGACCUGAGAGGGUGAUCGGCCACACUGGGACUGAGACACGGCCCAGACUCCUACGGGAGGCAGCAGUAGGGAAUCUUCGGCAAUGGACGGAAGUCUGACCGAGCAACGCCGCGUGAGUGAAGAAGGUUUUCGGAUCGUAAAGCUCUGUUGUAAGAGAAGAACGAGUGUGAGAGUGGAAAGUUCACACUGUGACGGUAACUUACCAGAAAGGGACGGCUAACUACGUGCCAGCAGCCGCGGUAAUACGUAGGUCCCGAGCGUUAUCCGGAUUUAUUGGGCGUAAAGCGAGCGCAGGCGGUUAGAUAAGUCUGAAGUUAAAGGCUGUGGCUUAACCAUAGUACGCUUUGGAAACUGUUUAACUUGAGUGCAGAAGGGGAGAGUGGAAUUCCAUGUGUAGCGGUGAAAUGCGUAGAUAUAUGGAGGAACACCGGUGGCGAAAGCGGCUCUCUGGUCUGUAACUGACGCUGAGGCUCGAAAGCGUGGGGAGCAAACAGGAUUAGAUACCCUGGUAGUCCACGCCGUAAACGAUGAGUGCUAGGUGUUGGGUCCUUUCCGGGACUCAGUGCCGCAGCUAACGCAUUAAGCACUCCGCCUGGGGAGUACGACCGCAAGGUUGAAACUCAAAGGAAUUGACGGGGGCCCGCACAAGCGG